rnacentral:tRNA from 1 species
UGGAGACGUAGCGAAGCGGCCGUAACGCGGCGCACUCGAAAUGCGUUUAUCGGUUCAUCCCGGUACGCGGGUUCGAAUCCCGCCGUCUCCGU